AUGGCGGCGAGCCGGCCCCCUCCUCGCCGCCCCCCAGCCGCUGCUCUUGGCUCUAGGACAGCAGCCUUGCUCGGGCGAGGGAGGAGCUUGAGCCGGUGUUGGAAAAUCCUGGAGGACGAAGAGGCGUUCGCACAGGGAGCCCCAUCUGGGGAAGGCAGUUUGGGGCCACUGCUGUGCUUUCUGCUAAGCCACCAAGAGUUCUACCUGCUACUGCUUUUGCACCACUGGUAAAAAACAACACAAUGAAAAAGGCAAGUAAUGUCUUAGUA
rnacentral:lncRNA from 1 species